AGGUAGGCGGAUAGACAUUCAGUUUACAGUUAGCAGCCACGCGGUGACGACUAUUAAUUUUUUAGUGUGUUUGUAAUCGUUUUGUGUAAAAACUAAUAACAGAAAUAUUUUAUUAAAUAUAUUUAUAUAUAUUAAUAUAUAUAUUUUAAAUUAAUGAAAUAAUAUAAAUAAAAAACAAAAUUGCCGAAACCAUAAGUCCGUCCAAAAAAAAAACCCAUUAUACGCGUAUAUAGUCAUAUCUACUUUGAGAAAAUAGCGGAAAUACAGCAAACCGCUAUCGUAUGAUAAGCAGUGCCAUUGCACCAAGAGUCAUGUGUUUAAACCCUGAUAAGACCAAUAUGCUGCUCAUAAUUGUCCUUCAGCCGUUCGGAGGAGAUUUAAAUACACUGAUGGUCCAUCCAUUUUGUGCAAAAUACAUCAAGACAUUUCUGUAGUUGGAGCAAAUUAAUUUUUUUUUUUGUUUUUUUUUCUUGGUUAGUUUAAUUUAAGUUUUCUGUUUGAUGGCGAAUGAGAAGAGAAACUCAUUCCGAAAGGGUAAAUGUUGAAGUAAACAUUUGAAAAAAAAAACGAAAGCGUUUUUAUGUUUUUGCAUGCUUGACUUUAUUUAAUAGAAUUACAAUAACAUUAUUAUCACUUAUACAUGCAAAUAACAGAGAUAUCAAUUUCAC
rnacentral:misc_RNA from 1 species